CGGCGUUCGAAUUGUAGUC
rnacentral:sRNA from 1 species